rnacentral:rRNA from 1 species
AUUGAACGCUGGCGGCAUGCUUUACACAUGCAAGUCGAACGGUAACAGGCCUUCGGGUGCUGACGAGUGGCGAACGGGUGAGUAAUGCAUCGGAACGUGCCCAGAGGUGGGGGAUAACGCAGCGAAAGCUGUGCUAAUACCGCAUGUGAUCUGAGGAUGAAAGCGGGGGACCAGGCAGCAAUGUUUGGCCUCGCGCCUUUGGAGCGGCCGAUGUCAGAUUAGGUAGUUGGUGGGGUAAAGGCCUACCAAGCCGACGAUCUGUAGCUGGUCUGAGAGGACGACCAGCCACACUGGGACUGAGACACGGCCCAGACUCCUACGGGAGGCAGCAGUGGGGAAUUUUGGACAAUGGGCGCAAGCCUGAUCCAGCAAUGCCGCGUGCGGGAAGAAGGCCUUCGGGUUGUAAACCGCUUUUGUACGGAACGAAAAGGCUCUGGCUAAUACCUGGGGCUGAUGACUGUACCGGAAGAAUAAGCACCGGCUAACUACGUG